UGGGAAUUGAACCCUGGUCCUCUGCAAGUCAGUGCUCUUAACCACUGAGCCACCUCUUCAGCACCCUCGAUCCCAGCUUUAACGCGGCACUAGAGAUGAACCUGAAGCCAUUCCUACCUGUAGGGAUGGGUGUGUGUAACCCAGGUUUGAUCAAUCACUGCAAUGCUGAAUCAGCAGCAGGCAUGGGACCCAGUGAGACUCUGUCCUAGAACCUGGUGAGAACUGUCCAGUUAAACGAAUGGAGGUGCUGAGGGCAGGUAUUACUCAUGUCAGACAGCCUCUUAACUCCUGAGAAUGGGAUCCACACAAAGCCAUAUGCAAAAGCAAGACCCAGGAGCUUUGUGCUGUCCACUGGGUGCGGGCUUUAUUCAGUAUUCAGUCUCAUUAGCCAACAAAUACUCUCCCCUGCCUGGACCAGGUUGCAUGGGUUUCUAUUACAAACAUGACUAUUUUUAUUCCCCUGUUUGUUUGGGUUUUUUUCCCAAGCCCUCCCUUGGUACUGAGCUUAUUUCUCAGAGCGCUGUAGCCAAGACUUAAAGAGGGGGAAAAAAAAAAAGGUUCUGUAUUGUGUGUGUGGUGUGUCCACUGAGCCAUCUCACCAACUCCAAACACCAGGAUCUUGGUAAAAUUGCCCUGCCUCCUUGUCUGCUGCUAUGCAGUGCCACACCUAUGCAGUACAACACUCUACUGCCUCUCUACAUAACUCCCAGGGCUCCAUCUCAUCCAGAUCCUGAUACCACGCCCAUCUCAAGAUUCCCAGCCACAGGGAAGCUCUUCUCUCUUUAUUAGGUUUUCCCAGGUUUUGACAGGGUGGUGCUGUGCUGCUCUGACUUACUUCACACUCAUGCCACUCAGGGUGGCCGCAGAAUCCUGAGCCUCCUGCCUCCCCUCUACAAGGGCUAGAAUCUCAGAUAUCCUUGCCCACAGCAGACUUGGAGCACAGCUUGUGUGCUUCCCCUCCUCCUGUCUGGAGAUCCACUCCUCUUUUCACUAUGGUCCAACUCCUCUCCUCCACACACCAUCUUUGCUACAGCCCUGAAACUUCCCAGUCACUCCUGUGAUACUUUGUAUUUAAAUAUGGGGAUGGCCCGAGAGAUAGCUCAGUUAAGAGAACUAACUGGUUGUUCUUCCAAAGGACCUGCCCUAUAUUUGAUUCUCAGUACCCACAUGGAAGUUCACAACCACCCAGAACUCCAGUUCCAGGGGAUCCAAAGCCCUCUUCUGACCAGGUCCUCGGGUACCAGGCACACACAUACAUAGUCAUACAUGGGAGCAAAACUCAUACUCAUAAGAAAAUAAAAUAAAUAGCUAUCUUUUCAUUUAAGGAAUGCCAUAGGGCCUGCAAGAUGGCUCAGUGGGUAAAGCACUUGCUGCACAAGCCUGAGGACGUGAGUUCAAAUCCCAGAACCUGAAGAAAGGUGGAUGGCGAGAACAGACCCCCAUGAGUCCUCCUCCUCCACAGGUCUGUCCAGGCUGGGUCUGUCUCCUGUGGGAUCCCAGCGGCAAGCCGAUGCCUUGAACAUGAACCAUGGGAUGAGCAGGAGGAGCCUUGAAACUUUGAAUGUACCCUACCUGUCCCCGGUGUCUUUGAAGAAUGGAAAGCAGGAAGACCCAGUCCUUGCAUACAGGAGACUGCCCUGUGGUCUGUGUUCCUGGGAUUUACCUGAGUGAACCCUCAUGGAACACGUUCCCAUGAUUCAUGAGAAAAGUACAAGAAGAAACAACAUAGCCGGGCUGAAGAGAUGGCUCAGUGGUUAAGAGUACUGACUUCUCUUCCAGAGGUCCUGAGUUCAAUUCUCAGCAACUACAUGGUGGCUCACAACCAUCUGUAAUGAGAUCUGAUGCCCUCUUCUGCUGUGUCUGAAGACAGCUACAGUGUACUCAUAUACAUUAAAUAAAUAAAUAAAUCUGAAAGAGAGAGAGAGAGGGAGAACAUAGCCAUUGUCAUAAAAUCCCAGCUCCUGGUAUCAUCUGAGGGGCUCCCAUCUGGAAUGGGAGAUGCUCAAGGCUUGAGGAUUAGGGUGUAUACAUUUGCUUCAUGAUCAUCCAUCAUUUUUGCAUAUCUGUUUUAUAAGUUGGUUUUUCUCACAA
rnacentral:lncRNA from 1 species